rnacentral:rRNA from 1 species
GUAAACGGCGGCCGUAACUAUAACGGUCCUAAGGUAGCGAAAUUCCUUGUCGGGUAAGUUCCGACCUGCACGAAUGGCGUAAUGAUGGCCAGGCUGUCUCCACCCGAGACUCAGUGAAAUUGAACUCGCUGUGAAGAUGCAGUGUACCCGCGGCAAGACGGAAAGACCCCGUGAACCUUUACUAUAGCUUGACACUGAACAUUGAGCCUUGAUGUGUAGGAUAGGUGGGAGGCUUUGAAGUGUGGACGCCAGUCUGCAUGGAGCCGACCUUGAAAUACCACCCUUUAAUGUUUGAUGUUCUAACGUUGGCCCCUAAUCGGGGUUGCGGACAGUGUCUGGUGGGUAGUUUGACUGGGGCGGUCUCCUCCUAAAGAGUAACGGAGGAGCACGAAGGUUGGCUAAUCCUGGUCGGACAUCAGGAGGUUAGUGCAAUGGCAUAAGCCAGCUUGACUGCGAGCGUGACGGCGCGAGCAGGUGCGAAAGCAGGUCAUAGUGAUCCGGUGGUUCUGAAUGGAAGGGCCAUCGCUCAACGGAUAAAAGGUACUCCGGGGAUAACAGGCUGAUACCGCCCAAGAGUUCAUAUCGACGGCGGUGUUUGGCACCUCGAUGUCGGCUCAUCACAUCCUGGGGCUGAAGUAGGUCCCAAGGGUAUGGCUGUUCGCCAUUUAAAGUGGUACGCGAGCUGGGUUUAGAACGUCGUGAGACAGUUCGGUCCCUAUCUGCCGUGGGCGCUGGAGAACUGAGGGGGGCUGCUCCUAGUACGAGAGGACCGGAGUGGACGCAUCACUGGUGUUCGGGUUGUCAUGCCAAUGGCACUGCCCGGUAGCUAAAUGCGGAAGAGAUAAGUGCUGAAAGCAUCUAAGCACGAAACUUGCCCCGAGAUGAGUUCUCCCUGACUCCCUGAGAGUCCUGAAGGAACGUUGAAGACGACGACGUUGAUAGGCCGGGUGUGUAAGCGCAGCGAUGCGUUGAGCUAACCGGUACUAAUGAACCGUGAGGCUUAACCUU